GGCUUCGGCGUCGAGGAAGGGGCCCGGCAGUGCCGGGGGGGAUUGAGAGUGGCGGAGGCCGCGGAACGACGGAAGACGGCGGCCGUAGUGAAGAACGUCGAGCGCACGCACGGCGAGUGGCAGCUUAACUAGCCACAUCGCCGUCCGGGCCGCGUGUGCGAGGGCGGAGGGCGGGGCUCGAGACCUGCGGCAGCGGGAGAUGCGGGCGGCUGCAGGCACGCGGCUGGCUCGGCUCGGCCGCCGCCGCCUUCUCGGGCCCCGGCGCGGGGGUUGCCGCUGUUUGCCGCGCCGUCUUUGAAUUCCUAGCGUGAGGAGCAGUCGGUGACAGAGUCUAGCACCGCGUUUAAGGUCGAGAAGGAUUCCUGUGUCCUGCCUGCCCAUUGCUAUGGACAGUGCCAUUACUCUGUGGCAGUUCCUUCUUCAGCUCCUGCAGGAGCCUCAGAAUGAGCACGUGAUCUGCUGGACCUCUAACAAUGGGGAGUUCAAGCUUCUGCAGGCGGAGGAGGUGGCUCGCCUGUGGGGGAUCCGAAAGAACAAGCCUAACAUGAAUUAUGACAAACUCAGCCGAGCCCUGAGAUACUACUACGUAAAGAACAUCAUUAAAAAAGUGAAUGGUCAGAAGUUUGUAUACAAGUUUGUCUCCUAUCCAGAGAUUUUGAAAAUGGAUCCACUGACGGUAGGCAGGAUUGAGGGAGACUGUGAAACUUUAAAUUCCAUUGAAGCCAGCAGUUCCAAAGAUGCUGAGUGUGGAGGAAAGGAGAGGCCACCUCAGCCUGGAGCCAAGACAUCCAGUCGCAAUGACUACAUACACUCUGGUUUGUAUUCUUCCUUUACUCUCAACUCUCUGAACACCUCCAAUAAGAAGCUUUUCAAGUCAAUAAAGAUAGAGAAUCCAGCAGAAAAACUAGCAGAGAAGAAAGCUCAGGAGCCAACCCCGUCCGUGAUCAAAUUCGUGACAACACCUGCCAAAAAGCCGCCCAUGGAGCCUGUCACUGUUGCCUUUUCAACAAGCCCUAGUGUUUCUCCAUCUUCUGAAGAAACUAUCCAAGCUUUGGAGACUCUGGUCUCUCCCACACUACCUUCCCUGGAAGCCUCAGCCUCUGUAUCCAUCCUGGCUACCACCUUUAACCCCACUCCUCCAGUUCCUUCCAUACCCCUUCCUCUACAGGAGCCUCCCAGGACACCGUCUCCACCGCUGAGUUCUAACCCAGACAUUGACACAGACAUUGAAUCAGUGGCUCCUCAGCCCAUGGAACGUCCAGAGAACUUGUCACUGGAGCCUAAAAAUGAGGAUUCAGCUUUGCCAGAAAAGGACAAAACAAAUAACUCAUCAAGAUCCAAGAAGCCAAAAGGGUUAGAACUGACGCCCGCCCUUGUGGUCACAGGCAGUGACCCCAGCCCCUUGGGGAUCUUAAGCCCGUCUCUCCCAACAGCGUCGCUUACACCAGCACUCUUCUCACAGACACCCAUCCUGCUGACGCCGAGCCCCUUGCUCUCCAGCAUCCACUUUUGGAGCACUCUCAGCCCGUUUGCUCCUCUGAGCCCAGCCAGACUGCAAGGUGCUAAUACGCUCUUCCAGUUCCCUUCUGUACUGAACAGUCAUGGACCAUUCACUCUGUCUGGCCUGGAUGGACCUUCCACUCCGGGCCCGUUUUCUCCAGACCUGCAGAAGACAUAACGAGUGCAGUUGUGGACUAAGAGACUAAGGAACUAGGACAUAGACAUCAGCAUGACUCAGUUCGAAAUGAGGGGUAGUUCUGCAGUGCUCAUAAUAGACCGUUGUGAUUUUUCCCACUGCCUGUUGACAAGCCUUUUCAGGACUCUCAAAAGUUGGACUGUACAAAAAAUGCCUUAAUUGGAGUCCAAGCUCCACCUCACUUCUUUUUUUUUAAAGGUGUUUUUUUUGUUGUUGUUGCCUUUUUUUCCUUUUUUCCUUUUUUUUUUUUUUAAAGCUUUGUGCAAAAAACAUUGGAUAGUUGAGGUUCAGCAGCUGUGUUUCUCAAGAGUCACCGAACAAAGUCACCAGCCCUGGAUGUGAGGACCCACAUCCAGGGGAGAAAGUGUGCUUAGAGCCUGUUACUUAAAGGAAUUCUUGUCCACUAUGUGUGAUGACCCACUUCUGCAGUCUCAGCACUUGGGAAGCUGAGGUGGGAGAAUACCAAGGGUGGAGGGCCAGCCUGCGCUAUAUAUAUUGUGAGGUUGUCUCAAAAAGACAAAAAUACGACUUAAAUGAAACCAGCAGCAUAUUUUGUAGUGAGUGCGCUCUGUUGAAUGUCUAAGGGGAGCGGCUCAUGAGCAGUGGGAGAAACCUUAGGAGGUCAGCCAUGCUGAGGAUCUGUUUUGCCGUGAGCGCUGACAUUACAGUUCUACAGAAGGGUGUCUUGUUUGCACUUACCUGGGCAAAUCUCUGCUAUCCGUACCUGUGAUCCUGUCUGAACCUGUCCCUAGGCCCCGAGCUGUUUUAACACAAGACUUGGAAAGCUCAGUUUUAAUGUGGGUUUUGGAACAUUGGUUGAGACUAGGAGAUCCCACUGUGAGCACAGAUCUCUGGUGUGUGCUUUGAGCAGUGUGGUUCUGUAGCCAUGCAACACAGCAUGCAAGUGGUGAUUUUUCCUGAGAGGAGAGUUGUGGUUUGAAAAUUGAAUGUCACAAGCAACCAAAAAGGUUCAGUGAAACACCCUGAGACAGGAGGUGGGGUGUUUCCAGCUAGAAGACACCCAGAGUGCCAGGCCCCUUUUCUUCUUGCCAGUUUCAUCCCCUUACCAUGCUGCUUUUAAAUCUAAGGUCAGAAGAUGAUGAUGCGUUCAGGUGUUGUAAUCAGGAAGAUGAACUCCAAAGGGAAACUUCGGUUAGCUGGAGGUAGAGACGGGCUUACUGCUUUCCAAAAGCGUCUUAACUUGUGGAAGAUCAGAUUGCACCUGACCAUUCUUAUGCAUAGGAAUUUGAUUAUUAAAUUAGUAAUGAGAAGUAGAGGCCUUCAUUUGCAUAUUAUGAAAUACUGUGUGGUAAGACAGAUACAUUGAUCUGGAAUUGAUACUAAUUUCACAGUGGAAUUUUGAAAAUUUGACUCUUAAAGUCCAGAACCAAAUUAAAUGACAUGUUCCUCCUCUGCCCAUUAAACCCUAGAUGUGACCUGAGUGGCAUGAAGGCAUGAGGGACUUGUGGGCUCAGAAUGACACUGAUACCCAGUGGCGUCUUUUCAGCUGCAUAGCAUUGCUGUCCAGUGCAGAGACAUGGAAGUCCGGCAGUGUGUGCUGGCUGUGGAGGGGCGGGCCACAGUGCCUUUUAGGGGUGGCUGCAGACCUCUGUUACUGGUCCAUUUGUGAUUAUCUUAAAGUUCUGUUCCCAGGAUGUGCAAUAGUAGCAUUGAAAAGCAGUGUUCAGAGUGAUGGGAGCAGGUACUGUAAGGAAUGAGCUUUCUUCCCAUGGUGCAUCGUUAGGUUUGCAUGCAUAUUUGGAAUUAACCCUCAGCAGCACUUUGAGGUAAUUUAGUGGGAUAAUAUUGUGUAAACUAAGUAAGUAUUGAUAGAUGACUUAGCUAGAUGUUUGAAAUCUGAAACCAUAAAAAUAUUUUUAUCUUACUGAGUUAAAGGAGAAAAGCCAUUGGUUUGUUUUCACAGAUGAAAUAUUUGGUAAUUUCCUGUCUUAGCACAGAGCUGCCUUGGGUCCAAGGGCACCAUUUAAACUCAGGCUGGGUGUGGUGAUCCCAGCACAUGGGGAAUGGAAGCUGGAGGAUCAACAGUCAGGGCUAGCCUCAGCUACAUAGUAAGUUUGAGACUAGCUUAGGCUACACAGGACCCUGUAUCAAAAAAACAAGGAAAAACCUCAACAACUUUGUAAGAAACCAUGCGGCCUUGUGGGGUUGGAGAGACCUGUCUUCUUGAUGUGAAUGAAUUUGCAGAAACACGUGCUUGGUUAGUGCAUGGGCACGUGCCCUUUUUUUUAAAGUUGGUAUAUAAUCUUGCUGUGUGUAUGAGGCAGACAUUUCUUUCUAUAGACUACCUCCUUCCUGACAAAGUCUGAGCUUUGUGUUGGUUCGAAUAGCCAUAGAAUUCUUAGCAUCAACAGAUGUAUUCAGGGAUGAGCGCACCCUCAGCUCACCUCUGGCGUCCACCACCCGUCACCUUGCUAGGGCAGAUGGGGCUGGGCCUCAGUAGCCUGAAGCAGGGGAAAUGAGCAGACUGUUAGAGACACCUUCUGCUCUGGACCGUCUAUGCUUAGCCCUGUGACUGAAGGGGUGAGAGUGGGGGUGUUAGGGUGGUCCUGUGAAGGCCUGUGUUGGAGGGUCUGCCAGUCCCCUUGGGCGUCCAUUGGUCCCUUGUGGGUUUGAAUCCACGUUAGAACUGAGAAGGAUGUGUGCGUAGGCUCAGAGCAGUGCCACACCCUGGGUGGGUUUUCACUUAAACUGUACUUUUACUCAUGCUGAUGUUUUUAAAAUAUAAAAUUAAAAUGUCAAGUUUAACUUAAAGUAAGUUUUUAGUGACUUCUGAUAGUAUUAUUGUGUUGUUACAACCCUAUGGCAUAGUCUGUAUGUUUGAAUAAGGGUAGAAGUUUCUACUGAUUAAAAAAGCAUAUAAUAGAAUCUUGAAGCCUUCAAAAGGCCAGCACUUCAUUGAGUUAAAAUAGUUUCUUUUUCUUCACUUUUUAACAGUUAAAAUAUAAGUAUAAUUUUUCCACUAUGUUUUUUUGUUUGUUUUUGUUUUUGAGAUAGGAUUUUUCUGUCUCCAACCGGGCUAUGAACUGAAUCCCAAAUGCUGACAUUUGCAAGUGUGGGCCACCAGGUCUGGCUGUUUCUUCAAAUUUGUAGAGAAAGGGACCGAGUCCCUUCUGAGACAGUUCAUUGUUUGCUUGAGGACAGUAUUUCCGCCACUGCCACUGCUGGCAUACGACAGAAGAGCAUGGUUCAGUCCUCUCUGCUGAGCUAAAAUGGAUCAGCUAAAAUGUACACGUAUGCAGAAGCGCACACGGAUGCUUGGGCCCCGGAGGCCUGCUUACAGGUGCGGCUGAGGCUGUUCCCUCUGCCCCUGGCAGUUCCGUGGAUCUUCAUGGAUCGGAAAGACUAAACUUAAACUCUGGGACUGCUGGCAUAUGCCUGUAAUCCUGUAAACCCAGGAAGGUUCAGGUGCUGUAUAGUGAGUUUGAGGCCAGCCUGAGCUACACGAGAGCCUUUCUGAAAUACAUUUAAGAGGUUCACUGGUUCGGAGCACCUGGUGAUCUUCCAGAGGAACAGAAUUGGCGCAACACUGCCUGUAGUUCCAGUGCUAAAGGGUCUAGCGCCCUCUUCUGGCCUCCAUAGGCAUCUGCACACAUUAAACAAACCACCUUUUAAAACAUUUUUUUAAAAGCUUUAGUUCAUUUUGCAACUAAUAUUCUAAACAUAAAAUCUUUGGUUAAAGUGAGUUUCUUAGGAUUAUUCCCUUUAUUCACCAAAAUAAUCAAAUUGGACUUUCCCCCCCUUCUUUAAGUAGGUUUUGUUUUUAUGAACUGCUGGUUACAACUGUGUCUCCAUGUAUCAGCCUCCUACAUGGCUGGGCCGACAGGCACAUGCCACCACAUCGGCUUACAUUUGCAUUUAAGAGCAAUCUAAUGAUUUCCAUGAGUCCUAUCAGAACUUCUGUUUUAAAAACCUCCUAAGCUGGAGCUUUAUUUAGGUUGGUCGGUAGGGUAGCCCAAGGUUUGAGUCUCAUUACUCCAUAAACCAGGAGUGUGGCUCAAACCUGUAAUCCUCAAACUAGGAAUAUAGAAGUGAGAUGAUCAAGAAGUUCAGGGUUUCAUCCUUGGCAAGUUCAGGGCCAGCCCAAGGUUAAUGAUCCAGUCUUGGGGGAAAAAAAUGAAAAUAAAAUUGUGAGGAGUGGGAAGUAACCAUGGGUUAUUUUAGUGUGUGCUAGGAGGUUGAAUCACAGCAAACCUGGCAGUUGACGCACUCUAAGGCGUGAACAUGAUUUAAAAGGUAAAUAACAAAGAACAAACGCUUGUUUCUCAUUCAGUUAAUCUAUAAUUUAGCAAAAGCAUGAGUCUGCCUUGGAGUGACUGCAGUGUAUAUAUACACCGGUGUCUGCACAGGUAGAGGGGAGCGGGUUCCUGUGUAUGAGUUUGGAAUGGCUGGUAAAAAGGACUGACAGGGUACUCACUCAGCCCCUCAGGGGAGUGGCUGUCUGGGUGAGACCUCUUGUUUAUUGUAUCAACCUCCGCAUCUCUGGUUACCCAGUGUCGCCACUUUGUAUAAGGAGAUGUUAGGUGCGAGCAGCACCUGCCCACAAGAGUCGCUUACUGUCAGAGCGUCGCGAAUGGUAUGUCUCAGGUAGGUUUAGUUUACACUAAGGGGACCUGCAAAGUACUCCGAUCUCUGUUCUUUUCUGAAAAAACAAUUACUGUGGCAACUGCUAACCGUCCUUAAAAUUAACAUUAGUUGUUCUUACAGAUGGACAGAAUGGUCAUCUCAGCUAGCUACCCAGUAGCACGUAACUGUGGAGACAAAAGGGUGUUGCUUUAAGGCUGGUGAAGCAAGUGCAGAGUCUUGAAUUCUGCCUUUCGGGUGAGGAAUGUCUUGAAGUUAAAGGGAGAGGGGGCAAAGGACGCAUGCGCACUUUGAGGGCUUUCUAAUGCACUUCUGUUCAAAGAAAAGAUGGCGGUUCAGUUCGAUGGGUGCCAUUUCCAGGCAUUGCAAGGGACUGCCCCAAGUAACCCGCCAGGGGUCCUUACUUCUGUUGCUUCUAAGCUGUAUGCAAAAGCGUUGUUAACUUCUAUAAAGAUCAUGUGUAUUUUAAGAAAAUGCAGUUUUUAAAACUUUUAUGUAAGAACUGACAGAGGGAUUUGCUUGUAUGUGGGAAGCUGGCUUUGAGAAAGCACUCUGGCGGGUUUAUUCCGAGUCUAGAGCUCUCGAGAUCUGUCAGUAGAUACAUGUGCAACUAGAUACGGACAACAAUUGUAUUUUUUUAAAAUAAAUAUUUUUAACAAAA